UUGGGGGUCGCCGCCCUUCCACUGCACCACCAAACAGUGAGUGCUCCUGCAGGCUGAGUGCCUCGAGGCUGCAGCAUUCAGGCUGCUUGGCAACCACGUCAUACAGGUCUCGCACCUAAGACAGCCCAGCCCCUCUCAGGUCUCCAGGCAGCUGACUGGCACCCUGUGCCCAUGGGGAGGGAUCUGCCUUGGCACCCUUGGCUCCUUUUCCCAUAUCCCGCCCCAUCUGUACUACUCUCCCAGCUCAGGCCUUACCGCUCAGCCAACACC